rnacentral:tRNA from 2 species
CGCGGGGUAGAGCAGUCUGGUAGCUCGUCGGGCUCAUAACCCGAAGGACAAUGGUUCAAAUCCAUUCCCCGCUA